CUCUUUUCUUUGUGUGCAGAGUUUUUUUUCUAUAUGUAUUGGCGGAGAGAGAGAGAGAACAGAAAAAGCAAAACCCACAAAGGGAUUCUGAGAUUGACAGAUUGAGAGAGAGUUCUGAGUGGUUUAAAAGAGAGUGAGAAUUGUGAAGAUGUCUGCAACGGUAGGAGGUGGCGGUACUGGUGUUGGUACAGGAGGACAAGAGGAAGACAAGAAACCUAUGGAUCAGUCUGCACACAUUAAUCUCAAAGUCAAAGGCCAGGAUGGCAAUGAGGUGUUCUUUAGGAUCAAACGAAGCACCCAGCUUCGGAAACUCAUGACUGCAUACUGUGAACGUCAGUCUGUGGAGUUCAACUCCUUUGCAUUCUUGGAGGUGCAUGAACACAGCUGAAGCUGAAGAUGAAGCUGAUGAUCCUGGUGCUUUGGCUGCAGUUGGCUGUUUGCGUGCCAUUAGCACAAUUCUUGAAUCAGUGAGCAGGCUUCCUCAACUUUUUGUCCAAGUUGAACCAACAUUGGUCCCUAUAAUGCAUAGAAUGUUAACAAGUGAUAGCCAAGGGCAAGUGUUUUGAGGCAAACAUCAAUCACAAUGCAGCAGAAAAUGUCAAUUUAGAACUACAAAAUUAGGAAAAUCUGAAUGUGGGGGACAACAUGAAAUGCUAUUAGACUUACUACACCAAAAGUUUAGCAGUUCAAGCUUACCAGGUAUUCUAACUAUUAGGCUUUGUUCCAUUCCUGGAAGACCUGAUACUUGGGAUGCAUAGUUAGCUUGGGCAAUAGGAGUUCUAUAAGGCAGAAAAGCUUUAUUGUUAUCAUUUUUGAAGUUUCUGGGAUUGCUCUUAUAUAUCCAACUUGGAUGGAGAAAACUCUCAAUGGCAUGAGAACAACUUAAAGAUGAAAAAACUACAUUCAAUAUUAUUGUCGUAAAGGUUAGAUGGACUGGCAUCAAGCUGGCAUAUUGUGAAUUCUGUCAGAAACAAAGGUUGUGUUCUUUUUGAAUAUCCCUAUGACUGUAUUUGAUUCUAAUUCUUAACCUUUGUAUUUUUCUAUCUUCUGUUUGCUUUUGAUGAUAUGUUGUCCUGUAAUCUAUAGUGUUUUAUCCUUAUUGUGGAUUGGGCUCUUUGUAUUGUUUUGGUUCU